CCAUUUUGUUCGCGGGUCGACAGCGCGGAGCUGGCGCGGGCGGACUCUGCGGCUGCGUGACCGGAGGGAAAUAAUGCUUAAAAAAAAGCUUUUAUAUCGAAGCAAAUUGUCCUCAAUUACUUGUUAGGUAACUCGCUGUGAGCAGCCAGGCAAGGUUUUGUGAUUUGUGUGUAUACUUCAUGUAGAAACGUUAUAUAUGUAUGAUUCUGUCUUGUGUAUAAAAGGAGAAUUGCGUUGGGGUGAGGUGUUUCUCCUGCGGGAGACACCUUUUUGCCUGGAAAACUAAAUUUCCUGUAAUUCCUUAAGCCUGUUCAUCAACAAUUAGGUACAAAAGAGCAGUGAGGUGGCCGCUCCAUCAAACAGCGCGAUUCCUAACAAUCUGGUGAGCCAGGUGGGACCCCGGAGCAAGAAACCCUCGAAGGGAGGUGUUUAAACCGUCAUCCGGGUGAAUUCACCGUGCUCGCUGGGGUUUUCUGACUGAUAGAUAUUGGAAGAUAGGCGUUGGUAUCAUGGUAGACACUCAAGGUGGGGAUGGCCAACGAGGUACAGCCAUCUGAGGGGACGGUUGAUCAGGUAAGGUUAACGUUUCUGUGGCUCAUGUCAGCUUAGUUGAGUGGUUUACUGGUAAAUACGGGAUAAUGGAAUGAUCCAAAGGAUCUGGUGACUUUAAUCAGGAUUUCCUGGGAAAGCUUCCCUGUUUCUCUGCUGGUAUAUCUCUGUCUGUUCCUUUAGGUUUGCCUGCUUCUCCUGCUUUACUGUCGUCUCCCGCCGUACUCAUCGAACCCCAUACGCUGCAGCACAUCAUGCCGAAUCCAGAAUGCCAGACAGCCUGGCGAGGGUUACGUCAAGCUAUAAGUGAAUCUGGGUGGAGGAAUAAAUUGGUCUAAAAUACAGGAAACUUGCCUGAGCAAGUACCUGGACACCCUUCUGAAUAUGCAGCCUGUCUCCAAGACAGGCUUGAUUACAACACCAAGGCGGGCAGAAGUUAAUUUUAAGGAAGCGUUGAUGGCUAGCCUGUUUGUAAACUAAGCCACUCCAACUAUUCACAACAAUUUAACUAAAAAUGCUUUGUGGUAACAAAGGAAGACUCUUAGGGAGAUAAUUUAUAUAACUACUUUUUUCCCAAUGGAAGAGAUGAAGAGAAAAGAAAAACUACGUAAAAGAAAGAGAAUACUCAUUUGUUUACCAGUGGCAGCUUUUUAAGCACCGUGUCGAGCAGAGGGAACAAGAAGGAGUUGAGAAAUAGGUAUCAUGGGAUGCGAGGGUAGAGGAAUGCCAGCUCAACAGGAUCGUUGUAAAUAUUGUCAUUAACCUGGAAAUUGGAAGAGAGAGAAUGCCCCCUAAAGCCGAGGGGUUCAUGUGGCUCUGGUGUGGACCCCACUGAGAAAAAACGAAAGGAAGGAGUCACAGAACUCUGUGGAGCACAGUUCACUGUGUAACACCCCCAGACUCCCCAUAAAAAAGAUCAAAGUUGGCCCAGAUGGCAAGCUGGUAUACCGAUUUAUACAAGAUUUUGGGGCAAUUAAUCAAAUUGUGGAAAUACUGAAUAUUCUUACCAACUUCAUACAGCUGCUGCAAGACAAAGGGCACCGGGCGUCUCUUGCUGAGCUCCAGCUGUGUGAAAAAGAGAGCCUGUGGUCCAAGGGCUGACACCUUAGAGUCAUAAAAUCAUCCUCUGUUGCUGCAAGAGGUUUUUUAGGAGAAAAAAUCUCUCGUUUUGGGCCAUCCACUUACCGUGAUGGCAAUCUAUGCAAUUAUUGUUAAUGUAACACGGACAUUUGCUGUAUACUGCAUAACAGUUAGUUGUUAUGAACUUCUACUAUUAGCAUAGCCAAAUAUUAACUUAAAAUGAUACAGUGUUUUAAAUCUGGAAGAGGCUACGUUAGUACCGCUGGCCACAAGGUGGCGAAUGGAACUCAGGUACCGGAUUACUGGAGGUUUUCGCCCUCCCAAAAGUCUGUAAUUUAGCAGAAAGCUCACCAGAAAGGUAAGUCUGCUGAAACUCGAGGGAGCAACGUGGCAGAUGCAGCACUAAAAUAAUUACCUGAGCUAAAAAGUGAGGCAUUUCCACCUUGCCAUUAGAACCUAUUUUAUGAAAAGUUUACUCCCAAAUUAAAACGCGGCUGGGGAAAGAUCGGCGCGACAACUACAGAAGAUGGAGUGUGGGAAAUCAAAGGAAAACCUGUCCUCCUAUGCCGUGGCUUGGUCCCAGACACGGAAUUCUUUGAUGGAAAGGUCUGUGGCAAUAUUAAAUAUUUAAUAGAUGAAAUAGCACAGCUGUGGGCGGCACCUGCAGCAUUACAAGCUGCAAAACCUGCCUGUUGCGUCCUCAGUAUUUUAUCUGGGGAACCAGUCGGUUUUAUUAGGUACAUGCUCUAAAGUUGUAAGUCAGGACAGUUUUAUUAGGUACACGCUCUGGUCUGUUCUUAACGUUGUAAGUCAGGAAUCGUGGAUCCAUGCCUGCAGCAAAGUCAAAGGGAAAAAAAAAUCAGAUUUAUUUAGGUCGGAAAAGACCUUCAAGAUCCUUAAGUGCAACCACCGAGUGCUGUAACACACCUGAGGGGAAAAAAGCUUGUUCUCAACCCAAAAAUAAGAUUAUAUGCUGACUCUCAGCAGGGAUGACUCUCAUCCAUGAUGACUAGUAGAAAUUAAUUAUUUUUGGGGGGAAACCCAUUAUGGACUAUGAUAUCGGUAUGAUCAGGAUACAUCUACGACAGCGUCCUGGGAGUUACUCGGUCGCGGAACGAGCAGAAAAACUCUGCCCCUGUGUGAUGUGAAGGCUGAAGGAGGGGGAUGCCACCUGGCCGCCAUUUUGGGCGUUCCUCACAGGCCGCCAUUUUGUCCACAGCUUGGUGCUGCCAAGCCAUUGCGCUCUGACCAAAUUUGUGGCUUUUUAAUCUAGAAAACAUGAAGUUGUGCCUCAUUAUUUUAUGUAUAUAGGGAAAACUGCAUCGGGGUGAGGUCUUUCUCCUGAGGGAGAGGCCGUUUGGCCCGGUAAAAUAAAAUUCUGCCUCGUUUUUUUCAA